UACGUAGGGUGCAAGCGUUGUUCGGAAUCACUGGGCGUAAAGGGCGUGUAGGCGGACUGUUAAGCAGGAGGUGAAAGCCCGGGGCUCAACCCCGGAAGUGCUUCCUGAACUGGCAGACUAGAGUUGGUGAGAGGUGAGCGGAAUUCCAGGUGUAGAGGUGAAAUUCGUAGAUAUCUGGAGGAACACCGGCGGCGAAAGCGGCUCACUGGUGCCAUACUGACGCUGAGGCGCGAAAGCGUGGGUAGCAAAC
rnacentral:rRNA from 1 species